CAGUCGCCACGGUAAUACGAAGGGUGCAAGCGUUACUCGGAAUUACUGGGCGUAAAGCGUGCGUAGGUGGUGGUUUAAGUCCGUUGUGAAAGCCCUGGGCUCAACCUGGGAAUUGCAGUGGAUACUGGGUCACUAGAGUGUGGUAGAGGAUAGUGGAAUUUCCGGUGUAGCAGUGAAAUGCGUAGAGAUCGGAAGCAACAUCUGUGGCGAAGGCGACUAUCUGGGCCAACACUGACACUGAGGCACGAAAGCGUGGGGAGCAAACAGGAUUAGAUACCCCCGUAGUCCCUGUCUCUUAUAC
rnacentral:rRNA from 1 species